rnacentral:lncRNA from 1 species
GAGUUGCUUCUUCUUCGUCUUCUUCAUCGAUCUAGGAUGGGUUCCAGGCCGGCAGCCUGGGAUAGCAAGGAUGGACGUCGUUCUUCUUUUGUCGUUCGUUUUCGUCCGUAGUCGGACCCUGCUCUUACUCUUGAUGAUUAUGUAAUGUACUGUUGUGACUCUGAUGUAGCUUGUGGCGAGUGUAAGCCAAUUCUAUAUAU